CUCUGCGCCUGCAUAUAAACCCCACCCAGCCAGCCCCCAGCGCAGAAGACGGAGAGGAGUCCAAGGAGUGCACUGGCCUCUUCGGCCUGACUCGGCUCUGGAGACGGAGACAGACCCACGGCGACAGCCUGCCCGCUCUGUCCGCCCGGCGGGUCUCUCCAGGGAUGACAUCAGCAGCCAUCUCCAUCCAGAGCCACCUCUGACCGUCCUUCUGCCACCUCGCCUGCUGCUCCCCCUGGCGGUCCCUCAGCCGCCCUGCAGCAGGCAGAAGCCCCCGGCGCCUCGCCCCGCAUCUCCCCCAGACCCAGAGCGCCUGGAUCCCCGGUGACAUUCGAGACCCUCCAGGACCGGACCCACCCGACCCCCCAGACCCACAUGAUGGAAGGCGGAGGCAGCCCCAGUCGAAGGACACACCCACCUCUGUUGACCAAGGACAUUAGCCAAUGCCCUAGUGAGGGGGCAUCGGCCAUGCCCCCCCCCCCCCCCACCUUGCUGUGCUUAUGCCUUGCCGCUCUGAUUCCUUUUCUGGAAGUCUGCUUGUCCCACCUUUGCCAGCGAACUGGAGUGUUCCCUCCCCCAGCAAUGGCAGUCUUCCCCGACUGCCCCUUAAUACCCAUUCUGUUCUGAACCAGAAGGAUCCCUUGGGAGUCCUCAGGAGGGGGGCCUGGGCUAAGGGCCGGGGGGCUCCACCAGCAACUCACUGGCGGUUCUGAGGCGCAGGGCGGGUUUCUGGAAUGAGCAUGAGCCCUGAUGCCACCGUGUUGAACUGCCAAGGGCAUGCAACCCCUCUUUUGUACUCUUUCUGUCUUUUCUGGGGUCUGGGGGGAAUCAGAUGUGCCCCUCCUAGGGGUGUUAUGAGGAUCAAAUGACAGUAGGUUGCCAACGGCUGGGGCCGGGGCGUGGGAGGGCGAUUCCCAGAAUGUUUGUUGAAAAGUCUGCCAGGCCAACCCCCUGCCACCUGCCUCACCUGUCUCACUCAUGUCCCCCCACCCCCUGCAGCACACCAGACACCGUCAUCCCUCUGGGGCUCUCCUUUCCCAGCCAAGCUUCUUCAAAGGCCUGUGCCCACUUGCUGCCCUCCUCCCUUACCUUCAAUUUCCUCUCCAGCCCACUGCUUCUUCCGGCGAAGGCUGUCGCUCAGGUAAUGAUCUUUCUCUGGCUCCACCUGGACACAUGUUCCGGAUCCCGGACACACAGACACAUGGACACGUCUUCACACUCUCUCACACGUGACCUUUCAGCUCUGGUUCCUUCCUGCUGCUGCGUGCACACGCGCGCACACGCGCGCGCACACACACACACACACACACACACACACACACACACACAUGACUCCUGGCCUCCUUGGUCUCCAGUUUCUCCCAGGAAUUGUCUCAGCUCCCAAGGCCUAGAGCAUCUUCUUUCUACCUCAGCUUUGAGUCUGGCUAACCAUGGAAUGCUGCGCUCUUGGGGAGGGGUGAGUAGGAAAGAAAACUCGAAUUGGGGUCACUACCCAUUUUCUUACAGGUGAGGGUGUCCCACAGGAAGGCCCAGGGAGAGGUUGGGGGAGAGAGAGAGAGAGAGAGAGAGAGAGAGAGAGAAAGAAUGAAAAAAAAGGGAAAGGGAGUAGAAGAGAGGCAAGCCGUCUUUUUAUUCUCCUUUUUUUUUUUUUAAAGACCUUACAGACAAAACAGUGGAGGUAAGGGGGAGAUAGACUUGAAAUAUUAAAAUUUAUCCCCCUCCACCCUAAAAGAAAAAAGAAAUCCAGAGACAGGUAUUCUAGUGUGAUUGGCCUGGGCUUAUAGAAAGUAAACAGGGAAAAAAAAAAAGGUUUUACCCUGAUUAUCCCAGUGACAAACCCCAGGAAGCUUUCAAACCAAAUUGGCCCAUUUGGGGGUUUUAAGUUCCUUCUAUCAAGUUUAACCUCUUCACCCCCUGAAUGCUGGCUGGCCCCCCCACUCUGCACCCCCACACCAUGGCCCCUGAGCUGGUAUUGGCCUCUGAGUGAAUGGAAGGGCCCCUCCCUCAGCUGGCUUUGCCCUCCUUUCUCUUAAUGAAGCCCGGCUUAGUUCUUACUGAAGAGCUGCAUUCCAGCUUGUCUGCUGGCUUUGUGUGGCAAAGCCUUCACACAGGCCAGGCCCCACUUCUCACCCCCCACCCCUCUCCUGUGGAGGAGUGGCUGUAAGUUAAAGACAGUUUGGGGACGCCGCCCCCCCCCCCAGCUUUAGAAAGGUCACAGGCUAUGGCAUGGGAUUCAUCAUCUCAGAGCAGCCAGCCCAGAAAUAGGUGCCUGCCCCCAACCCCUCCUUGGCCCCUCCCAGUGGAGCAUGGUUUGGGGUUCCCAGUGGACUCCCCCAAACUGAGCAAGGCCCUGUGUCAAAAGUGACUUGUCAGGAUGAGGCCCAGGGUCACUGCUCUUAGCUCCAGUGAGCUCUGCCCUGCCCAGCAACCCCCCAACCACCCCACACUCCCCCACUUCCUGGAUUCUCACUGGCCCUGGCCUCUGGAUAGUUCUCAGCCGCAUACCCCAGAGAUUCUGAUCACUUCAUGAGUUCAAACCCACAGUGUUCCCGGCCCUCAGCCCAGAGGAUAGAGAUGGGCAUGGGGAGUGUGCUUGGGCCCAAGUGGCCAACUGGGAGAAAGGGAUGCCUUCCUCUGAUUCCUCUGGGCUGAAGGUACUGACUGACCCCUCAGACCCCCAGUUAAUGCCCCUUCCCACAGGCCAAGUUGCCCUGAAGCCCAGUCCCCUGACCAGGCUGUCCAAGUGACCACUGAUUUGUAAAGCUCCCCAGCAAUUCCUGCCCCAGGCUCUCGUGGAGGAGGGCUCUAGCCAGCAUCUUGGGAAUUUUCAGUUCCUUCCUGGAACCUGGGACUAGGUGGUACGCCCCUCUCGGCCCGCCCUCCCCUCCCACUCCAUCUCACCACUUCUGACUGUUAGGGUCACACACAGCUCCCCUUUCUCUCCUGGGACAGAUGUUAAUGUCAGCUGCCUGCACGUGGUCCCCCUGCACCCUCUUCCAGCCCAGGGAUCCCUCCAGCAGAGAACCUUGAACUCUGACUUCAUGCUUGCUUGUAGGCUCUGCGAUCAGGGAGGCCAGGAGCCCCACCUCCCCCUGCACCUCCACUUUUUCUAGGACCUGCUGACUCUUGCCUUCACUGCCUGCCCUCCCCUUGGCUCCCCACCCCCCACCUCUCCUCCCCCCCCACCCCCAGCACCAUCUCCUGAUCUGGAAUUCCAGGGGGUGCCCUAGGCCACCCACUCUCCUUAGGGGUAUCCCAGCACCAGCUUGGCACCAUGUGGGGUUCAGUAAGAGUAUGUGGGAUGUCUGUUUGGACAGGUGAGCCCCUGAAGGACGUGGCCGCCCAGCUGAGCCGCUAGGCAAGACCAGGGUGAGGUCAAAGGGGUGGGGGGCAGAUUACGGGGUGCAGCUGCCACGGCGGCCCGGCGGCGGCCUGCUCUGUUCAUUGACUCGCGCGUCCAUCCACUGUCAAGCCAACAGUCGAUCCUUGCUGACCAAGCCCACGCCCAGCCGGCGGGAACCCCUCACUCUAGCUCGUCCCUUGAGGCCUCUGCUUUCUGGGGAGGAUGCCGGGAGGUGUGGUCCUGUGGGCGGCCUUACGGUUGUCCCAGGCGCACGAGUAGGUGGAGGUGGUGGUGAGGCCUUUCUGGGAACCAGGCCCCGGCGUUCCGGGGGUCCUGGGGCCUCUUGUCCACCCCCCGCCAGGGUCCCCUUCCCCUAGACGAGUGCUGAUGGCUUGUUCUGGACCCGUGGCCCUGCGCAGGGCCGAGGUGGGAGAACAGGAACGAUGGCGUGGCCCUCCGUGCUCUGGCCAUUCAGGUCUCUCUCUUGAGUGGGGUCUGCUCGCUGCACCCCUUCCCUCCAUUCGAUUCUGCCUUCCGCCCCCACCCCCAAAACUGUGGAGCUGAAUGGGCUCCCAGCCCUGUCAUGGGGCCUGUCUGUCUGUCCCCCCGCCCCAGGGGUGGACGGAUGUCCCAGAACCUCCAGUGAGCGGCGCCGGCUGAGCCCCCUGCCCCUCUGCUCCCCUGCUCUGCCUGUCCGGUGUCCCCUCCCCUCCCCGCCUCUUGUUGGCUUUUUUUGCUGAGUGGUCACCUGUGGCCACCUGCUACCCUGUGUGCCUGCCUUGCCCUGCCAUCUGCUCCAUCCAUAGCUGCCCAGGGCCUCAUGCCCAUGGCUGCCUCCUGGAGGCCGGGCACCCCCCCCCAGCCCCCCGACCUUGUGAACCAGGGGCACACCUGCCACCGCAGCCCAGCUCUCCUUGUAGGUGGGCAGCUCCCCGGCCUGUGGCUCCUCUACCCUCCCUGCCUCUCCCUCCACCACCAUACGACCACAGCGGACCCCGUCGUCCUGUGCUGGCUGAGAACUGGCCGCCUGGACCGAAGGAGGAAGCCCCCCCUGCUCCGGAGGACCCCCACCCGCCGAGGACCCUGAUCCCUGGAGGAGGACCACUGGACCAAGCCCCUCACUGGAGUGCACCGCACCCCUCCUCACCUGCCUGCCCCAGCUCACCGGCCCGAGACGUCGCAGGACCUCUUCGUGGGAAUUGACCUCACACCCAGCACCCGAAACCCCGAGCCCCCCAGCUCUCAGUCCCUCCACAGCCUCGGGGACCCUGCACACCCCCACUCCGCAAUCUGGACCCAAAGACUGGACCCGGGGCCACACGCCUCCCCCUUCCACCACUGACUGAUGGACCUCACUGCUCUGACCCCGGCCCAGCCCCCCCUCAUGCACUGAGACUUGGGGGGGGCCCAGCCUGGCUGGUUCUCACCUACCUCACAGGGCUGUUGUGAGGAUUUGGGGGGCCCUGGGGGGAGGGGCUGGGUGCCUCGUCUGUGCUUGAAUAAAUGUGUUUCUUGUCUUAACAA